rnacentral:rRNA from 1 species
AUGGCUCAGGAUGAACGCUAGCUACAGGCUAACACAUGCAAGUCGAGGGGCAGCGGGAGAGUAGCUUGCUACUCUUGCCGGCGACCGGCGCACGGGUGAGUAACGCGUAUCCAACCUUCCCCCUAGUAGGGGAUAGCCCGGCGAAAGUCGGAUUAAUACCCUAUGUUCUCCUUUGAUGACAUCUGAUAUGGAGCAAAGAUUUAUCGCUAUGGGAUGGGGAUGCGUCUGAUUAGGUAGUAGGCGGGGCAACGGCCCACCUAGCCAUCGAUCAGUAGGGGUUCUGAGAGGAAGGUCCCCCACAUUGGAACUGAGACACGGUCCAAACUCCUACGGGAGGCAGCAGUGAGGAAUAUUGGUCAAUGGGCGUGAGCCUGAACCAGCCCAAGUAGCGUGCGGGAUGACUGCCCUAUGGGUUGUAAACCGCUUUUGUACGGGAAUAAAGUCGGGGACGGGUCCCCGUUUGCAUGUACCGUAAGAAUAAGGACCGGCUAAUUCCGUGCCAGCCGCUGC